AUUUUUUAAAGUUUUAAAGCUUUUAAAGCAAAAGCUGGCCCCUGCCCUCUCCCAGAGUGGGUGGGGACAGCGGUUUCAUGAUCAGCUUUCCUUGUGAUACCACAGGUCCCUCUGGACAUGCUGCUGCCUGGCCACGCCUUCUUUUGCUUUCAUCUUUCUCAUUGACCAAUGGGCUUGGAUCAUUAAGGCCACACCCCUAUUCUGCAUUCUAGUGGGGCCCUGGUUACGCCUCCUCUGGCUCAGUCACACAGCUGCCUGGUAGGUGACUGGAGGUAUUUGGCAGUCAUUGCUGGGAUUUUGCUGAUAUGGCACCAACCCUGCCUGCCUUCCCACCUCAUGAUGGCUGAAGAAACUCAACAGAGCAAAUUGGCUGCAGCCAAGAAAAAGUUAAAAGAGUAUCAGCAGAGGAACAGCCCUGGUGUUCCAGCAGGAGUGAAGAGAAAAAAGAAAAACACAGCAGUAACCCUGAGACAACCACUUCUGGUGCUUUCCACUCACCUGGAGAUGAUUCCCAGCUCCGCCCCAAACUUGCACCUCGAAUCCAUCCAGGUACUGAGCAGAAAAAGGGUCCUCCUAUGGUAUAGGUUGGCCCUGAGACCCUAG
rnacentral:lncRNA from 1 species